CAGAUGCUCAGCCAGCAGUCUGCAGAUUGAAUUUUCCUCUGACUGUCUCGUCACCGGGGAUGCACCACAAUGGGCAAGAACGGGUGUCAUUUCAUCUCAGCCGCCGCCACCGCUCCGCAGGGACAUGCUGAGAGUUGCCUCUUUUAAACCGAGGGAGGGAGAAUGAGUGGAGGAGAAAAGAGAUGAAACAGGGCAUUACACCCCUCCCCAUCUUCGCUCCCCCAGAGGAACUGAGGGAAGAAUAGAAAAGGUGGGGGAUUGUGUUUCCUGUGAAUGGAGAGAACUCACAUUGACUAACUUUACUUCCUGCCUUGCUUGCCCAAUGGAAAAAAAAACAAAAAACACCAGCUUGGAUUGACAACCAGCCAUAAUCUACCAAUAUACUCUCAUGGUAUCAACCAUAAGGCAAGUCUUUCUUAUUGCCGGGUACACACAUGCCGAUCAUUUUCUUUUUCCUCCUGUUUAAAGUCAGCAAAAGCCCAAUUGUCAAAUGUCACUCAUACUAUGCUUCCUGGCCUUUGUUCAAUGAAGGUGCCUCUUCUACUGCAGAAAAAUGCAAGUAGCAAAAAUGUGCUGAAAAGUAUAUUCAUUGUUCAGAAAUGAUGACGAUCUUGUUUCAUUGCGCUCACAACUUACCGUUUAGUGUUUGUGGGCCUGAACGUGAAGGUAUGUUACGUUAAUGGCAGCAGGGGGAUACCCAAUUGUAUCAUAAAUAUAAUUUUAAAUGAAUUCCUUGCUCACCCCGUGCCUCCUAAAAUAAUCAUCCAUCUUCUGUCCAUCAACUUUUAUCCCACCUAUUAUAUAUGGCAAAUAAAGAAAUAAAUGCAACAUAAUAUAAUCAUAAAAUCGUUUCAUUUGUUUGCAACAGCUGUUUUCAUGAACAUUAUUCUAACAAAGUUUAUAUGAAGUCUGUUCUGAAUAUUCUUUUUGCUUCCUGUUGUAUUUUGAAAUUAUUUUAGGAAAGGGGAAGUGGCUUUGUUUUUAUUUUGAAAUUCUCCCCGGAUAGAGGAAGUGAUGCUUGUAAAAAAAGCGCGAACGCCUCAGCUGAACGAAGUGUUGCCUGAGCACCUGGAGAUUCUUUUGCCAACUUUUGACAUUUGACAACGCAGAUGGACAUUUGAGAGACGUGCUUGCCUCUAAACCAAAUUCCAACGUGCGAGAAAUCACUGAUCACUGAAUCACAAAAUGGAGGAGGAAUUCAUCAACAUACAACUUGGAUUUAAGGGAGCUGCCUGGUCAGAGCAGCAGUGAGUGCAGCUUUAACCUCACAAUUGGCGGACAUUUUGGCAUAGUGCAGGACAUCGCGGC